GGCCUCUCUCCCAUGAAAUUGUGGGGGAUCCCCUUCCUCCUCCACCAAGGCUAAACCCAACAACAGCCCUCCCAGAUCAGCGUCACGACUGCUGCAAGUGGAGCAGCCUUAUUCUCCUACCUCAGACCUUU